GAUGAACGCUGGCGGCGUGCCUAAUACAUGCAAGUCGAGCGAACAGACGAGGAGCUUGCUCCUCUGACGUUAGCGGCGGACGGGUGAGUAACACGUGGAUAACCUACCUAUAAGACUGGGAUAACUUCGGGAAACCGGAGCUAAUACCGGAUAAUAUAUUGAACCGCAUGGUUCAAUAGUGAAAGACGGUUUUGCUGUCACUUAUAGAUGGAUCCGCGCCGCAUUAGCUAGUUGGUAAGGUAACGGCUUACCAAGGCAACGAUGCGUAGCCGACCUGAGAGGGUGAUCGGCCACACUGGAACUGAGACACGGUCCAGACUCCUACGGGAGGCAGCAGUAGGGAAUCUUCCGCAAUGGGCGAAAGCUUGACGGAGCAGCGCCGCGUGAGUGAUGAAGGUCUUCGGAUCGUAAAACUCUGUUAUUAGGGAAGAACAAAUGUGUAAGUAACUAUGCACGUCUUGACGGUACCCAAUCAGAAAGCCACGGCUAACUACGUG
rnacentral:rRNA from 1 species